rnacentral:ncRNA from 1 species
UAAAGGGGUGUCCCUGGCGGGGCUGAGAUUAAACCCUAAGAACUUGAUGCGGAUAAUACCGACGAAAGGAAUAAA